CUCUCUGUAGCUCAGUUGGUUUGAGCGCUGCACCAGAAUUGCAGGGCGGAAGGUUUGAUUACUGCCACAGGGC